GUCCCUACGGGGGGCAGCAGUGAGGAAUAUUGGUCAAUGGGCGGAAGCCUGAACCAGCCAAGUCGCGUGAGGGAAUAAGGCCCUACGGGUCGUAAACCUCUUUUGCCGGGGAGCAAUGGCCGGGACGCGUCCCGGCCCGGAGAGUACCCGGAGAAAAAGCAUCGGCUAACUCCGUGCCAGCAGCCGCGGUAAUACGGAGGAUGCGAGCGUUAUCCGGAUUUAUUGGGUUUAAAGGGUGCGUAGGCGGAAUAUCAAGUCAGCGGUAAACAUUCGGGGUUAAACCCCGUCGUGCCGU
rnacentral:rRNA from 1 species